rnacentral:rRNA from 1 species
GACGAACGCUGGCGGCGUGCCUAAUACAUGCAAGUAGAACGCUGAAGAGAGGAGCUUGCUCUUCUUGGAUGAGUUGCGAACGGGUGAGUAACGCGUAGGUAACCUGCCUUGUAGCGGGGGAUAACUAUUGGAAACGAUAGCUAAUACCGCAUAACAAUGGAUGACACAUGUCAUUUAUUUGAAAGGGGCAAAUGCUCCACUACAAGAUGGACCUGCGUUGUAUUAGCUAGUAGGUGAGGUAACGGCUCACCUAGGCGACGAUACAUAGCCGACCUGAGAGGGUGAUCGGCCACACUGGGACUGAGACACGGCCCAGACUCCUACGGGAGGCAGCAGUAGGGAAUCUUCGGCAAUGGGGGCAACCCUGACCGAGCAACGCCGCGUGAGUGAAGAAGGUUUUCGGAUCGUAAAGCUCUGUUGUAAGUCAAGAACGAGUGUGAGAGUGGAAAGUUCACACUGUGACGGUAGCUUACCAGAAAGGGACGGCUAACUACGUGCCAGCAGCCGCGGUAAUACGUAGGUCCCGAGCGUUGUCCGGAUUUAUUGGGCGUAAAGCGAGCGCAGGCGGUUUGAUAAGUCUGAAGUUAAAGGCUGUGGCUCAACCAUAGUUCGCUUUGGAAACUGUCAAACUUGAGUGCAGAAGGGGAGAGUGGAAUUCCAUGUGUAGCGGUGAAAUGCGUAGAUAUAUGGAGGAACACCGGUGGCGAAAGCGGCUCUCUGGUCUGUAACUGACGCUGAGGCUCGAAAGCGUGGGGAGCGAACAGGAUUAGAUACCCUGGUAGUCCACGCCGUAAACGAUGAGUGCUAGGUGUUGGAUCCUUUCCGGGAUUCAGUGCCGCAGCUAACGCAUUAAGCACUCCGCCUGGGGAGUACGACCGCAAGGUUGAAACUCAAAGGAAUUGACGGGGGCCCGCAUAAGCGGUGGAGCAUGUGGUUUAAUUCGAAGCAACGCGAAGAACCUUACCAGGUCUUGACAUCCCGAUGCUAUUUCUAGAGAUAGAAAGUUACUUCGGUACAUCGGUGACAGGUGGUGCAUGGUUGUCGUCAGCUCGUGUCGUGAGAUGUUGGGUUAAGUCCCGCAACGAGCGCAACCCCUAUUGUUAGUUGCCAUCAUUCAGUUGGGCACUCUAGCGAGACUGCCGGUAAUAAACCGGAGGAAGGUGGGGAUGACGUCAAAUCAUCAUGCCCCUUAUGACCUGGGCUACACACGUGCUACAAUGGUUGGUACAACGAGUUGCGAGUCGGUGACGGCAAGCUAAUCUCUUAAAGCCAAUCUCAGUUCGGAUUGUAGGCUGCAACUCGCCUACAUGAAGUCGGAAUCGCUAGUAAUCGCGGAUCAGCACGCCGCGGUGAAUACGUUCCCGGGCCU